ACUUGUUCUUUAAAUGAGGACUAGUAUGAAUGGCACCACGAAGGUUAUACUGUCUCCUUUCUUUAAUCAGUGAAACUAAUCUCCCCGUGAAGAAGCGGGGAUGUAACUAUAAGACGAGAAGACCCUAUGGAGCUUUAAACAUAAGUAACAAUUGCCCACCACAACAUCAAUCCACGGAUAUUAACCACAACAUUUAGGCAUCUUGAUUACAAGUUUUAGGUUGGGGUGACCGCGGAGCAAAAAAUAACCUCCGCAGUGAAUGGAACUUAUUUCCUAAACCCAGGGCUACGACCCUAAGAAUCAAUAAAUUGACACUAAUUGACCCAAUAUUUUGAUCAAUGAACCAAGUUACCCUAGGGAUAACAGCGCAAUCCACUUCAAGAGCCCCUAUCGACAAGUGG
rnacentral:rRNA from 1 species